CUGGCUCAGAACGAACGCUGGCGGCAGGCUUAACACAUGCAAGUCGAACGCCCCGCAAGGGGAGUGGCAGACGGGUGAGUAACGCGUGGGAAUCUACCUAGUUCUACGGAACAACAGUUGGAAACGACUGCUAAUACCGUAUACGCCCUAAGGGGGAAAGAUUUAUCGGAAUUAGAUGAGCCCGCGUAAGAUUAGCUAGUUGGUGGGGUAAUGGCCUACCAAGGCGACGAUCUUUAGCUGGUCUGAGAGGAUGAUCAGCCACACUGGGACUGAGACACGGCCCAGACUCCUACGGGAGGCAGCAGUGGGGAAUAUUGGACAAUGGGCGCAAGCCUGAUCCAGCCAUGCCGCGUGAGUGAUGAAGGCCUUAGGGUUGUAAAGCUCUUUCAGUGGGGAAGAUAA
rnacentral:rRNA from 1 species